rnacentral:lncRNA from 1 species
AGGUGUGGGGCCUCUCUCAGACCACAUCUCUGGAAAUUAGGAAAUUAAUAAUAGAACAUGGCUGGGCCUUAUUACAGAAUCACAGCGUAACCACAGGGAUUUAUUUGUAUUUCCUUUCAGUAUCUAUCUCUGACUUGGACAGAGAGACACACGGUGAGACGCAGAGAGAAAGAACCGACAGAUCAUUGAGGGAAUAUGGCAGCGACUCCUGUGCUACGCUAAUGAACCCUGACGUACAGUAGCUGACCUCCCCGGGCUCCAGAGAGUGUCAGCGGCCAUGCUCACUGCAGCCAAUUACGCCUGACCCAGAACGGAGACACACAUGGUUACAAUGGAGCAGUGGGAGCACCAGUGAUGUGAAGCUCUACUUCACCUCCCCCCCAGCGGUCCCCGGGGAUCCCAUCCCGCCCACUGUCUCCCAUGGAUACCUCAGCUCGCCCUCUUAUCGCUGUGGAGACCCAGCUAACCGCUUGCUCCCAUCAGUUACUGAGCUGGAUCCUCAUUCCACACAUCAGAAGCGGAUGCCAUCCCAUCUGAGCCUACAAGAUAACUGCCUUGGAUUCUCAACGUGGACACAUUUCCAACAAGAACCCUUAAAUUAGAGCAUCUUCUGUUACAUCCACAACUGCCAGGAACUACGCAAGGUCAG